rnacentral:snoRNA from 1 species
UUGUGACACUUGAUCUCUGAACUUCAGGUGGGUCCUGUUGAAAAAUUUACUUCACUAAUGCU